rnacentral:lncRNA from 1 species
GAUGCUCCCAAGAGCCAGGAGAUCCCACCUGGCCAUGGCAGCAACUGAGAGCAUAUGGCUACCUUGGCCUCUUAUGUUUGUUCUUUCCUGUUCAUAGGCAAACAAGAUGGAAGUAUGCAGGCAAUCUUAUUUUCCUACAUUGAGAAUGGAAAGUCCCUUUCUUUCCCUUAGCUUACUGGAGAGAGAAGCUGGGUUUUUCCAAAAAGCUUCACUAGCACUUAAGAUCACUGAAAAAGCAAAAUGAGAACAUCUAUGUCAAAAGAAACUGGAGGGAAAUGGAUCUAUGCAGCAUCCAAAGAGGCAAGGGGAGAAAAGGAGGAAGAACUGAAAUGACUGUAAAUUAAUUGGGUGCAUCAUUCACCCUAAGCAUGCCACCUUGGCCUGCCACCAUGCCACCCCAGAAGCUAACCCCAGGCAUCUUCUUCCUGGUGUAGCCAAAACCAACUUGAAGUUCCUUUUCCAUUUCCAAGAUGGCACUCCUUCAAGACCCUGUCAAGCCCUUAGAUUCAAACUCAGUCUAUGGCUUACAUUCUUCACAAGCAGCGUCACUGGAAUUUCUGGAUGAAUAGGAAAUAUUUCAUCCACUGGAGACCAGAGACAUACUCCAAAUGGAAAAAAAAAAUACAAAGAAAUAGUCCUUCAAGGGAGGAAGAACUGUGGAAAAGAACCCAACAUGAAAAUAGAAAGGACUUCCAGGUCAUGAAUAACAGGAGUUGGGAGUUGCUUUAGUCAUUUUUGCAUCCUACAUGGGUACCUCACCACAAUUGCACUCUACAUUUGAUACUCUUCCCACGGAUGCUAUGUGUAUUUGUAGGAGAAGAUGCCCCAGGUUGGGGGGGGGGUCUUUUGUAAUAACUAGUCUUGCCAUACCGUUUGAAUAAAUGCCUUUAAUAAGAGCUGAUUUUAUUUACU